GGCCUUAUCGUAUAGUGGUUAGUACUCCAGGUUUUCAUCCUGGCAACAGGGGUUCGAUUCCCCUUAAGGCUACCA
rnacentral:tRNA from 1 species